rnacentral:rRNA from 1 species
GUCAAUUCCUUUGAGUUUUAACCUUGCGGCCGUACUCCCCAGGCGGUCGACUUAUCGCGUUAGCUGCGCCACUAAGAUCUCAAGGAUCCCAACGGCUAGUCGACAUCGUUUACGGCGUGGACUACCAGGGUAUCUAAUCCUGUUUGCUCCCCACGCUUUCGCACCUCAGUGUCAGUAUCAGUCCAGGUGGUCGCCUUCGCCACUGGUGUUCCUUCCUAUAUCUACGCAUUUCACCGCUACACAGGAAAUUCCACCACCCUCUACCGUACUCUAGCUCAGUAGUUUUGGAUGCAGUUCCCAGGUUGAGCCCGGGGAUUUCACAUCCAACUUGCUGAACCACCUACGCGCGCUUUACGCCCAGUAAUUCCGAUUAACGCUUGCACCCUUCGUAUUACCGCGGCUGCUGGCACGAAGUUAGCCGGUGCUUAUUCUGUUGGUAACGUCAAAACAGCAAGGUAUUAACUUACUGCCCUUCCUCCCAACUUAAAGUGCUUUACAAUCCGAAGACCUUCUUCACACACGCGGCAUGGCUGGAUCAGGCUUUCGCCCAUUGUCCAAUAUUCCCCACUGCUGCCUCCCGUAGGAGUCUGGACCGUGUCUCAGUUCCAGUGUGACUGAUCAUCCUCUCAGACCAGUUACGGAUCGUCGCCUUGGUAGGCCUUUACCCCACCAACUAGCUAAUCCGACCUAGGCUCAUCUGAUAGCGUGAGGUCCGAAGAUCCCCCACUUUCUCCCUCAGGACGUAUGCGGUAUUAGCGCCCGUUUCCGGACGUUAUCCCCCACUACCAGGCAGAUUCCUAGGCAUUACUCACCCGUCCGCCGCUGAAUCCAGGAGCAAGCUCCCUUCAUCCGCUCGACUUGCAUGUGUUAGGCCUGCCGCCAGCGUUCAAUCUGAGCCAGGAUCAAACCCUC